AGAGUUUGAUUAUGGCUCAGAACGAACGCUGGCGGCGUGGAUAAGACAUGCAAGUCGAAUGGGAACCUUCGCAUUAGCAAUAGUGUGAAGGUUUCAGUGGCGAAAGGGUGCGUAACACGUGGGCAAUCUGCCCUCCUGUGGGGGACAACCCCGAGAAAUCGGGGCUAAUACCGCAUGUGGUUGAGGGUCUUAUGAUCCGAAAACCAAAGCUGGGGAUCCGCAAGGACCUGGCGCAGGAGGAGGAGCCCGCGUCCUAUCAGCUAGUUGGUGAGGUAACGGCUCACCAAGGCUUACGGGUAGCUGGUCUGAGAGGANGACCAGCCACACUGGGACUGAGACACGGCCCAGACACCUACGGGUGGCAGCAGUCGAGAAUUUUUCUCAAUGGGCGAAAGCCUGAAGGAGCGACGCCGCGUGGGGGAUGAAGGACUUCGGUUCGUAAACCCCUGUCACCCGGGAACAAACCUUCCGUCGCAAUACGACGGAAGCUGAUUACCGAGAGAAGC
rnacentral:rRNA from 1 species